rnacentral:tRNA from 1 species
ACUUAAAUAGCUUAUUUAGAGCAUGAUAUUGAAGAUAUCAAGGAAAUUAUAUAUUUUUAAGUA